rnacentral:rRNA from 1 species
UACGGAGGGUGCAAACGUUGCUCGGAAUCAUUGGGCGUAAAGCGUGUGUAGGCGGUUUGUUAAGUCGGGUGUGAAAGCCCUGGGCUCAACCCAGGAAGUGCAUUCGAAACUAGCAGACUUGAGUACGGGAGAGGGUCGCGGAAUUCCCGGUGUAGAGGUGAAAUUCGUAGAUAUCGGGAGGAACACCAGUGGCGAAGGCGGCGACCUGGACCGAUACUGACGCUGAGGUACGAAAGCGUGGGGAGCAAACAGG